GUGCUUACUUCGGCAGCACAUAUACUAAAAUUGGAAUGAUACAUACAACAUUAGCAUGGCCUCUGCACAAAGAUGAUAUGCAAAUUUGUGAAGAAUUCCAUAUUUUU